GACGAACGCUGGCGGCGCGCUUAACACAUGCAAGUCGAGCGAGAACCAGGGCUUCGGCCCUGGGGACAGCGGCGAACGGGUGAGUAACACGUGGGUAAUCCACCCUCGGCACCGGAAUAGCCCGGGGAAACCCGGAUUAAUGCCGGAUGGCCCGCCGGCCCCGAGGGGCUGGCGGAAAAGGUAGCUUCGGCCUCCGGCCGAGGACGAGCCCGCGACGGAUUAGCUUGUUGGUGGGGUAACGGCCUACCAAGGCUGCGAUCCGUAGCUGGUCUGAGAGGACGAUCAGCCACACUGGGACUGAGACACGGCCCAGACUGCGACGGGAGGCAGCAGUGGGGAAUCUUGCGCAAUGGGCGAAAGCCUGACGCAGCGACGCCGCGUGGGGGAAGAAGGCCUUCGGGUUGUAAACCUCUUUCAGGAGGGACGAAGCCACUCGGGUUAAUAGCCCAGAGGGUGACGGUACCUCCAGAAGAAGCCCCGGCUAACUACGUGCCAGCCGCCGCCGUAACAC
rnacentral:rRNA from 1 species